rnacentral:rRNA from 1 species
CAUAGCCGCGGUAAUACGGAGGAUCCAAGCGUUAUCCGGAAUCAUUGGGUUUAAAGGGUCCGUAGGCGGUCUUGUAAGUCAGUGGUGAAAGCCCAUCGCUCAACGGUGGAACGGCCAUUGAUACUGCAGGACUUGAAUUAUUGGGAAGUAACUAGAAUAUGUAGUGUAGCGGUGAAAUGCUUAGAGAUUACAUGGAAUACCAAUUGCGAAGGCAGGUUACUACCAAUUGAUUGACGCUGAUGGACGAAAGCGUGGGUAGCGAACAGGAUUAGAUACCCCCGUAGUCCCUGUCUCUUAUACC